rnacentral:rRNA from 1 species
CCCUUAGAUGUUCUGGGCCGCACGCGCGCUACACUGAUGCAUUCAACGAGUUUUUCCUGGUCCGAGAGGAAUGGGUAACCUUUUGAAAGUGCAUCGUGCUAGGGAUAGACUAUUGCAAUUAUUGGUCUUCAACGAGGAAUUCCUAGUAGACGUAGUUCAUCAGACUGCAUCGAUUACGUCCCUGCCCUUUGUACACACCGCCCGUCGCUCCUACCGAUUGGGUGUGCUGGUGAAAUGUUCGGAUCGGCCGUUUGUCGCGGUUUCCGCGUCAUGUGGCUGAGAAGUUCAUUAAACCCUCCCACCUAGAGGAAGGAGAAGUCGUAACA